rnacentral:rRNA from 1 species
AACGAACGCUGGCGGCAGGCUUAACACAUGCAAGUCGAACGCCCCGCAAGGGGAGUGGCAGACGGGUGAGUAACGCGUGGGAAUCUACCUAGUUCUACGGAACAACAGAGGGAAACUUCUGCUAAUACCGUAUACGCCCUAUGGGGGAAAGAUUUAUCGGAAUUAGAUGAGCCCGCGUAAGAUUAGCUAGUUGGUGAGGUAAUGGCUCACCAAGGCGACGAUCUUUAGCUGGUCUGAGAGGAUGAUCAGCCACACUGGGACUGAGACACGGCCCAGACUCCUACGGGAGGCAGCAGUGGGGAAUAUUGGACAAUGGGCGCAAGCCUGAUCCAGCCAUGCCGCGUGAGUGAUGAAGGCCUUAGGGUUGUAAAGCUCUUUCAGUGGGGAAGAUAAUGACGGUACCCACAGAAGAAGCCCCGGCUAACUUUGUGCCAGCCGCCGCAGUAAUAC